CAGCACUGUUCUUUGUCUAUUAUUAGGAAGUCCAGGCAGAUAGCUGCAGUCAAGGCCAAGUGUGCAAGGCGGUCCUCUUGCGAGAUGUCUCUGACCCCAGAUGUCUGAGGCCAGGUGUCAUUGCUGCCCUCGGCGUGUGAAGGAACAGAGUCAAGCGGGUAUCCUCCUGGCAGCCUGUUGAGUCGCAUCAAGAUUUCAGGUCCCCGGGUCUCUACAAGUUAUCCCGGAAUCUACCGCCGGACAUCGAAGAGCCGCGGUCAGAAGACGCGUCGAAGCGUCAACGUAGCAUUUCAAGUAAGGGUCGCGGUCAGCGUGUAAGCGGAAGAGCGCGUGAGAGAGCGUGAUUGUCCGUGUCUGUCUGUGAGAGCUUGUGUCUGCAGGUGUGAGUGUGUGUCGACCGCUUCUAACCUUGU